rnacentral:rRNA from 1 species
ACAUUAAAUGCAGCGGAUCCGCAUGGAUAUGGUUGUUAAAAGGGUUUUAUCGGCCUUGGGAUAGGCUUGCGUCUGAUUAGCUAGUUGGUAGUGGUAAACGGGCACACCAAGGCUACGAUCAGUAAACUGGUCUGAGAGGAUGAUCAGUCACACUGGAACUGAGACACGGUCCAGACUCCUACGGGAGGCAGCAGUGAGGAAUAUUGGGCAAUGCUCGAAAGAGUGACCCAGCAACGCCGCGUGGAGGAUGAAGGUAUUCUAUAUCGUAAACUCCUGUGAGAGCAGACGAAAGACAGAUUAUUAAUCUGGAUGACUGUAUGCUCAGAGGAAGCCCCGGCUAACUACGUG